AUUGAACGCUGGCGGCAGGCUUAACACAUGCAAGUCGAGCGAGCGGCGGACGGGUGAGUAAUGUCAGGGAAACUGCCUGAAGGAGGGGGAUAACUACUGGAAACGGUAGCUAAUACCGCAUAACAUCAGAUGUGCCACGAUGGGAUUAGCUAGGAGGUGGGGUAAGGGCUCACCUAGGCGACGCUCCCUAGAUGGUCUGAGAGGAUGACCAGCCACCCUGGAACUGAGACACGGUCCAGACUCCUACGGUAGGCAGCAGUGGGGAAUUGUGCACAAUGGGCGCAAGCCUGAUGCAGCCAUGCCGCGUGUGUGAAGAAGGCCUUCGGGUUGUAAAGCACUUUCAGCGAGGAGGCGUUACUCGCAGAAGAAGCACCGGCUAACUCCGUGCCAGCAGCCGCGGUAAUUC
rnacentral:rRNA from 1 species